GCAGCAAGAUGAAGAUUUCCUUUUGUCACAGCCUUUAUUUCCACAAUGAAGUGAUCAGGUACAGGGUAUCUCAUUCCACUGCAGUCCAGUUGUUCUGGGAUCAUGAAGGUCAAGCCUCCAGCUGCAGGCAGUACACCUCCUACCUGAGCUUUUUCACCUGUUUGGCUGAACAUGACUGCCCGGGUUUUGGUAGGAUUGCUGAGAUAUCCACCUGAGGCCCAUCUAAGUCUACAUUCCUUCAGAAUGUUUCUCCCAGGUCUGUCAUGUUCUGUUUUGAUGACCCCGGGCUGCCCUGAUAUGUUAUCCUCUCUGCUAUCCUCACUCCAACUGCCCUGCCUUCCCAUAUAAGACAGUCCACUUCACAGGGAAUCUGGAGGAAUGCACUGGGUUCCAGUGUGAUGAAAUGUUCUAUUAUCUCCAUGUACAUGUAUUUUAGAGCUUCCUCCAGGACUGGAAAUGUGAAGAGAUUGCAAAAUGGCUGGGGACCUUCAGUAUGUGUCCAGGGAGGGAAC
ensembl:lncRNA TTTY23 testis expressed transcript, Y-linked 23